rnacentral:rRNA from 1 species
GUUGAUUAAGCAAAAAAGGGGCUUACGCCAACUGAAAGUGCGAUUUUCUGGUCCUUGUUUUUACAUUUUGCAUAGGUUCAUACGCGAAGUGGAAAUGUGUGUAUGAUUGCAACAAUAUAAUGGUUGUUGCUGCUAUUUUCUACAAACUGAGAACAUUGUAAGUUUUUUAGUUAAAAAGCUAAAAUUUUAUCUAUGGGACGAGAAGACCCCUAUAGAACUUUAUUUUUAAAUUUAUAAAUUUAAUAUAGAAUAUUAUAUGAUAUAUAAUGAUUAAAUUUUGUUGGGGUGACAGAAAAAAUAUAAUAACUUUUUCUAUAUUUUUCAUUAUUGUUGAAUUUUUGAUCCUUUCUUAUGGAUAUAAGAUUAAGUUACCUUAGGGAUAACAGCGUUAUUAUUUUAGAGAGUUCAUAUCGAUAAAGUAGUUUGCGACCUCGAUGUUGGCAUUAUAAUAAGAUAUAGGAGUAGAAUA